rnacentral:misc_RNA from 1 species
AGGAGAGAGCUAGACUUCCAGGU